rnacentral:rRNA from 1 species
AUCUGGCUCAGGAUGAACGCUAGCGGCAGGCUUAACACAUGCAAGUCGAGGGGCAUCGGGAGUAGCAAUACUGCCGGCGACCGGCGCAAGGGUGCGUAACGCGUGAGCAACAUGCCCGUAUCAGGGGGGAUAAUCCAUGGAAACGUGGUCUAAUACCCCAUAGUAAUUAUGUAAGGCAUCUUAUAUAAUUUAAAGCUUUGGUGGAUACGGAUUGGCUCGCGUGACAUUAGCUGGAUGGUAAGGUAACGGCUUACCAUGGCUACGAUGUCUAGGGGUUCUGAGAGGAAGGUCCCCCCACACUGGAACUGAGACACGGUCCAGACUCCUACGGGAGGCAGCAGUGAGGAAUAUUGGACAAUGGAUGGAAAUCUGAUCCAGCCAUGCCGCGUGCAAGGAAGACGGCCCUAUGGGUUGUAAACUGCUUUUGUAUGGGAGCAAUAAGGGCUACGUGUAGUCCGAUGAGAGUACCAUACGAAUAAGCACCGGCUAACUCCGUGCCAGCCGCAGC